UUAGAAGCAGCCAUCAUUUAAAGAAAGCGUAAUAGCUCACUGGUCGAGUCGGCCUGCGCGGAAGAUGUAACGGGGCUAAACCAUGCACCGAAGCUGCGGCAGCGACGCUUAUGCGUUGUUGGGUAGGGGAGCGUUCUGUAAGCCUGUGAAGGUGGCCUGUGAGGGUUGCUGGAGGUAUCAGAAGUGCGAAUGCUGACAUAAGUAACGAUAAAGCGGGUGAAAAGCCCGCUCGCCGGAAGACCAAGGGUUCCUGUCCAACGUUAAUCGGGGCAGGGUGAGUCGACCCCUAAGGCGAGGCCGAAAGGCGUAGUCGAUGGGAAACAGGUUAAUAUUCCUGUACUUGGUGUUACUGCGAAGGGGGGACGGAGAAGGCUAUGUUGGCCGGGCGACGGUUGUCCCGGUUUAAGCGUGUAGGCUGGUUUUCCAGGCAAAUCCGGAAAACCAAGGCUGAGGCGUGAUGACGAGGCACUACGGUGCUGAAGCGACAAAUGCCCUGCUUCCAGGAAAAGCCUCUAAGCAUCAGGUAACAUCAAAUCGUACCCCAAACCGACACAGGUGGUCAGGUAGAGAAUACCAAGGCGCUUGAGAGAACUCGGGUGAAGGAACUAGGCAAAAUGGUGCCGUAACUUCGGGAGAAGGCACGCUGAUAUGUAGGUGAAGCGACUUGCUCGUGGAGCUGAAAUCAGUCGAAGAUACCAGCUGGCUGCAACUGUUUAUUAAAAACACAGCACUGUGCAAACACGAAAGUGGACGUAUACGGUGUGACGCCUGCCCGGUGCCGGAAGGUUAAUUGAUGGGGUUAGCGGUAACGCGAAGCUCUUGAUCGAAGCCCCGGUAAACGGCGGCCGUAACUAUAACGGUCCUAAGGUAGCGAAAUUCCUUGUCGGGUAAGUUCCGACCUGCACGAAUGGCGUAAUGAUGGCCAGGCUGUCUCCACCCGAGACUCAGUGAAAUUGAACUCGCUGUGAAGAUGCAGUGUACCCGCGGCAAGACGGAAAGACCCCGUGAACCUUUACUAUAGCUUGACACUGAACAUUGAGCCUUGAUGUGUAGGAUAGGUGGGAGGCUUUGAAGUGUGGACGCCAGUCUGCAUGGAGCCGACCUUGAAAUACCACCCUUUAAUGUUUGAUGUUCUAACGUGGGCCCCUAAUCGGGGUUGCGGACAGUGUCUGGUGGGUAGUUUGACUGGGGCGGUCUCCUCCUAAAGAGUAACGGAGGAGCACGAAGGUUGGCUAAUCCUGGUCGGACAUCAGGAGGUUAGUGCAAUGGCAUAAGCCAGCUUGACUGCGAGCGUGACGGCGCGAGCAGGUGCGAAAGCAGGUCAUAGUGAUCCGGUGGUUCUGAAUGGAAGGGCCAUCGCUCAACGGAUAAAAGGUACUCCGGGGAUAACAGGCUGAUACCGCCCAAGAGUUCAUAUCGACGGCGGUGUUUGGCACCUCGAUGUCGGCUCAUCACAUCCUGGGGCUGAAGUAGGUCCCAAGGGUAUGGCUGUUCGCCAUUUAAAGUGGUACGCGAGCUGGGUUUAGAACGUCGUGAGACAGUUCGGUCCCUAUCUGCCGUGGGCGCUGGAGAACUGAGGGGGGCUGCUCCUAGUACGAGAGGACCGGAGUGGACGCAUCACUGGUGUUCGGGUUGUCAUGCCAAUGGCACUGCCCGGUAGCUAAAUGCGGAAGAGAUAAGUGCUGAAAGCAUCUAAGCACGAAACUUGCCCCGAGAUGAGUUCUCCCUGAGACUUAGAGUCUCCUGAAGGAACGUUGAAGACGACGACGUUGAUAGGCCGGGUGUGUAAGCGCAGCGAUGCGUUGAGCUAACCGGUACUAAUGAACCGUGAGGCUUAACCUU
rnacentral:rRNA from 1 species